AAAAUGAAGCCCAUAAAUACAGGGGACAGGCAAGGUGUUUUACUUGACUUGAGGAAAAACUUGGAGGAUCACUCGUUUAUAGAGCUCUGUGCAGCUGUUAGAAAAACAUAUGAACUGAUACAUGACCAAGAUGAGACGACCCCUACAUUAUUGCAGUGUACUAGUUCUGUUAGAUCUCAAGUUCAGAGUUCUGAAGACCUCGUUGCCUUUAUCAAUGAUGCUUUGACUAAACGAGGUGGUGCUUUUUCUUGUUAGGAAUAUCUGUACACAUAUA
rnacentral:misc_RNA from 1 species